rnacentral:rRNA from 1 species
UACGUAGGGUGCAAGCGUUAAUCGGAAUUACUGGGCGUAAAGCGUGCGCAGGCGGUCUUGCAAGACAGAUGUGAAAUCCCCGGGCUUAACCUGGGAACUGCAUUUGUGACUGCAAGGCUGGAGUACGGUAGAGGGGGAUGGAAUUCCGCGUGUAGCGGUGAAAUGCGUAGAUAUCUGGAGGAAUACCGGUGGCGAAGGCGGCAUCCUGGACCGGCAUUGACGCUGAUGAGCGAAAGCUAGGGGAGCAAACGGG